rnacentral:lncRNA from 1 species
ACAGAAACGCCGCUUGGCCUUUGGACUACACCAUCUGUCGCUCGCUCUAACGAGCCGGCGUUGCCGCCAGGGGACGCUCGGGCCGCAGGAGGUCGCUGGGUCGUGAGCUGGCGCCGGGGACGCCGAGCGACUGCGGGGUUUCCCUCAGCGUCCUGCUAUCCGGCUGCCCGCCGCGCUCCUUGGUAGUGUCCGUGGGCGCGCAGGCCUUGAAGAACCUCCUCGUGGCGGGACCCCGAGGUAACUGCUGAGGCAGAUAAUGGCGCCUGGGCUGCGGUGGGGCUUGUCCUGCCGCCUGGCGGCUUUCUGCAGGGCCAGGAUAUACUUACUUUUCUGUAAACCAACUCUUCCUUAGCGCAGGAGAGGUGUCAAAGAGCUGGCGCGUCUCCAGAGCCCCGGGAGGAAGGCUGUAACGGCAGCCCCAUCGUAGACAGGGACAUUCGCAUCCCGAGCCCUGGAUCUCUGAAAACCAGCCCAGAAUUUGGAAGCUGGAAGGAACUUUAGAUCGUCCAUUCUGAGUGUCUCUCUUCGCUGGCGUUUUCCCACUGAGGUUAUGUAAACAUGAAGAGGAGCCUACAAGUGUCAAGGAAAAAACGACAGCUAACCACAGGGCAGGCCAUGGGCAAGAUAUCUCAGUGUUCUCCGCUCUCAUAGGUCAGGUCACGACCCCCAGGAGACCUGGAGGACUGAAUGCUGCUGCCCCCAAGGAGGAGGCUGCCGUCUUAUCCCAGGAGGGAGAGCAGGUGAAGUCCCCAGGGGAGGAAGCACCUAGCCCCAUUCCUGCUGAGCAGGAGGUGGCAGGUACCCCAGACUGGGAGGUAAGGACAGCCCGGGGCUUCGACUGAACGUCUCCAGCGUGGGUCCAACUGAGCAGCCAUGGAGCACUGCAGAGUGGGAGGCAGCAGGGCAGGGAGGCAGUGCUGGAGGCUGGCUCAACCCCAAGACCAGCAGGCCAAGCUGCCAUCCCAGGGGAGCGAGGACGUCUGUGCAGAGCUGAGAGGCAGCAGCCAUGUGUGAACAGACUGGGCCUCAUCCUGGCCCCACCGACUUUGUGUGGACAGAGCCUGUUUCCCUGUCUGUGCAACACAGAACCUGCCUGAUCUCACUGCUGGAUCCCUCUUCUUCCUGCCAGGAAAAUAAAAAGGUUCAAAAGGAAGUUGCUGCGUAUCCAUCUGAGGCCUCUGAGGACAGCAAAGAGCAAAGGCCCUGGGACCGGGUCUACGUGCCCAUGACAGAGCUCUGGCUGGACUGGUUCUGAGCCUCUAACACCCCCAAGACUCAGAACCGUGAAGAAAAUCUUUCCAAUAAAUCCAAGAGUUGCUGCUGCUAUAGGCCAGGCUGCCACCUUUCGGGGCCUCCGUCUUCAGACAAACCCAGCCUGGCUUCAUCCACACUCCCUGUCCCCACAGCUGCAGGAACAGCACUUCCUGCCACCGAGCCGUGUGACCACAGUGGAUUGUCUCUGGAGGGGCCCAAGGGGGCCCUGGCCACCCUUCUGACUGACUCGGUGCCAGGGGACAGACCAACGUCCCUCUCGUGCUGACAGCCGGGCCGCACCCUGGCAUGAGGGCAUUUACAGAAAUGCUGGCGGAACUGCUGCCAGGGAGGCUGUAGGGUCCUCUGGCAAAAGAGGCCUCAGGUGGCUCCUCAGAGUGUCUGUGGUUCUCUGUCCCAGGCUGUUCCCUAAGAAGGUCUGCCCAGGACUCAGGACAGCAGCAUCCCUGAGGGCCCAGAGAGGUGGCCAGUCCUGUGGUGAGGUUGAGAGGUGUCAACGUGCUGGUGGUCCUCGCUCGCUCUCAGCGCCUCCUCGGCCUCAGCUUCUGCUCUGACCACACUUGAGGAGCCCUUCAGCCCAGCGCUGCACUGUGGGAGCCCCUCUCUGGACUGGUGGAGGCUGGAGCCGGCUCCGUCUGCUUGCGGGGAGGUAUGGAGGGAGAGGCGUGUGCGGGAACCUGGGUUGCUCGCGGGCCAGCACCAGUUCUGGGUGGGCAGGGGCUCAGCGGGCCCUGCACUCGGAGCGGCCGGCUGGUGCCUCUGGCCCCAGGCAGUGAGGGGCUUAGCACCUGGGCCAGCAGCUGCAGAGGGGGCACCGGGUCCCCCAGUACUGCUGGCCUGCCGGCGCUCACCACACUUGAAUUGUCGCCAGGCCUCAGUCACCUCCCCGCGGGGCAGGGCUCAGGACUUGCAGCCUGCCAUGCCCAAGCCUCCCUACGGUGGGCUCCCUGCGAGGCCCGAGCCUCCCGGAUGGGUGCCUCCCACUGCUCCACGGCACCUGGUCCCGUCCACUGCCCAAGGGCUGAGGAGUACAGGUGCCCGGUGUGGGACUAGCAGGCAGCUCUGCCUGUGGCCCUGGCAUAGGAUCCACUAGGCGAAGCUGGCUGGGCUCCUGAGUCAGGUGGGGACUUGGAGAACUUUUAUGUCUAGCCAGAGGAUUGUAUAUGCACCAAUCAGCACUCUGUGUCUAGCUCCGGGUUCGUGCAUGCACCAAUUAGCACUCUAUCUAGCUAAUCUGGUGGGGACUUGGGGAACCUUUAUUUCUAGCUAAAAGAUUGUAAAUACACCAAUCAGCACUCUGUGUCUAGCUCAAGGUUUGUAAACACACCAGUCAGCACCCUGUGUCUAACUCAAGGUUUGUAAACGCACCAAUCAGUGCUCUCUGUCUACUCUAUCUAGCUAAUCUAGUGGGGACUGGGACAACCUUUAUGUCUAGCUAAGGGAUUGUAAAUACACCAUUCAGCACUCUGUGUCUAGCUCAAGGUUUGUAAAUAUACCAAUCAGUACUCUGUGUCUAGCUCAGGGAUUGUAAAUGCACCAAUCAGCUCUCUGUAAGUGGACCAAUCCACUGUCUGUAAAAUGGGCCAAUCAGCAGGAUGUGGGUGGGGGUCAGAUAAGGGAAUAAAAGCAGGCUGCCUGAAGUAGCAGCGGCAACCUGGUUGCCAUCAUUCUUUUGCUGUUUGCAGUAAGUCUUGCUGCUGCUGCUCCCUCAUUGGGUCCACACUGCCUUUAUGAGUUGUAACACUGGAAGGACUGCAGUUUCACUCCUGAGGCCAGUGAGACCACAAACCCACCAGGAAGAAUGAACAACUCCGUACGUGCAGCCUUAAGAGCCGUAACACUCACUGUGAAGGUCUGCAGCUUCACUCCUGAAGCCAGCAAGACCACGCACCCACCAGAAGGAAGAAACUCUGAACACGUCUUAACAUCAGAAGGAACAAACUCUGAACACACCAUCUUUAAGAACUGUAACACUCACCGUGAGGGUCCACGGCUUCAUUCUUGAAGUCAGUGAGACCAAGAACCCACCAAUUUUGGACACAAGGUGACAG